UCAAAAGCAGUGCCGUUUCUAUCCUACUAAUCUCUUAUAAUUUUGUGUCCUAUUAUCAUGUUUGAUUUUGGAAUUGUCAUGUUAAAUAUCUUACAAUGCAGAAAAUAAUACAUGAAUAAAUGAUCUCUUAACCGGCUACUAAACCACCCCUCAAAGUUAUUACUACUAUUAGCCAGACUGAGGAAGAGCCAAAAUAGCGAAUUUGCAACUGUUUGGAUAACGUGCUGUAUCAUCUCUCUAACAUAGCUAGCACUAUUCCUGUCCGCACAAAUUGGGCAACUAACAUUCAACAUUUCAAUUUGCCUUGCUUAUUCCGUCUUCACACGGCUCUAACCUGAAAUGUACAUAUCAUCAAGAAUAUAUUCCCCUUAUAGACAUGAAAAAGAACCUUAAGAGAAGAAAGGUACUUACAAAACAAGCUAUUUAUGUUCACCCCUCAUCUUGUGCUGCAGAAUGUUAACACACCACUCUUCUUCGGGUCGCUUUUGAGGAGGUUGGGGACUCCAGCAGUGCGACAUAGUUUCAGGCAAGGUAACAAAGUAGGAGAUAGACUGUCCAAGCAGGGUUUAAAGUAUGGAACUUAUGAUCAACCAUCUGUUUUGCUAUCACCUCCCACAAGCGUCACCAACUUUUUGGAAGCUGAUAAGCAAGGAGUGACGACUCCAAAAUUAGUAUCUAUAUCAUCGUGUAAUAGCUUAGCUAGUUUAGGCAAUCUAAGUGUUUUAGCUAUCAAUGAUGGCACGUCUGUUACUAGUUCAUCUUAUGUAACUACCUAGUAUUAAUAAAAUAUCCGUUCAACCAAAAAAAAAAAAAAAAAAAGAAAAAAAAAAAGAAAGGUAAAUGGAUAGGUUUUAGCUCUUACACGUGGCAUAUUUAGUGAAUGAUCAUACUAUGAGGUGAUCGUAGAACUAUUUGAGGUUUCUUUAUUUGGAGAGAUAAGGAAUUCUCUUUAAAACAAAAAAAAAAUAAAAAAAUGAACAAGUUGCUGCAACUUGAUUUCUAUUUUCUUUAAGGCAGCAACGAUGGUGAGAUCCCAUCUUGGGAAUAGAUAAUUCUCUUAUGCCAAAGGCAAGUGGGGAACCACCUAACAAUCCAAACAUUCUUAUCUUUGGGAGGACAUAUUUUUUGGAUACAUACAUACGUUUUAUACAUUUGCAUCAAACUAUUUGAGGAAAAUUCUCUCUCUUUCUUGUUCUUUUUGCUAAAGUAGUGUAGUGCAGUAAGUUUUACUCUACAUGGAUUUUGGUUCAAGAGUUUUUAUGGUAAUCUCAACUCCGAGUUUGAUACGGUUAUCUCUCCGUCAAUUUCUUGAUUGUAACAUUGGUUUCAUCCGAACCAAGCAAGUCCGAGAAUACUUUGUGGUGAUGGUGAAGUAAGAUAUCAGGAAGCUUUUAUGAAGGCGACACAAGUGCUAUUCCUCAUCUACGACUUUUUAUGGGCUCGUAUGAGCGUUUGAGGCACGUAAUUGUUAGGAACUCGCGGGACGGUGAUAGGAAGCCGUGAGUUCGGAUUGUGGUGGUUAUGUAAACUGAUUAAGAGAUGUUUUUAUGUUGUUUGGAGGUUGGUGGGGGUUUGGUAGGUCAUUUAGAGCUUGUUGGUAGUUGAAAGGAGGUCGAGUGUGGAGUACACCAUUGUACAUAGCUUCGGGAGCUCGUCGCUCUUUGAUUGCUUGACGAUAGUGUUGGUAUAGUUGUGGUAUAUUAUUGGGUUGUUGGUUAUGUUGAUAUUAGCUGCCUUAAACUGGUUAAACGUUUAUCGGAGGGAUUGACUCGUUGUAGUCAUUCAAAGAUGGAUUUGAGGUACGUGAGGCUAUUCCUUGACUCACCGGUACGGCAUGACGUGUAUUUAUUGUUUCCUACAUGAAUCAUGAAGC